rnacentral:rRNA from 1 species
GACGAACGCUGGCGGCGUGCCUAAUACAUGCAAGUUGAGCGCUGAAGGUUGGUACUUGUACCAACUGGAUGAGCAGCGAACGGGUGAGUAACGCGUGGGGAAUCUGCCUUUGAGCGGGGGACAACAUUUGGAAACGAAUGCUAAUACCGCAUAAAAACUUUAAACACAAGUUUUAAGUUUGAAAGAUGCAAUUGCAUCACUCAAAGAUGAUCCCGCGUUGUAUUAGCUAGUUGGUGAGGUAAAGGCUCACCAAGGCGAUGAUACAUAGCCGACCUGAGAGGGUGAUCGGCCACAUUGGGACUGAGACACGGCCCAAACUCCUACGGGAGGCAGCAGUAGGGAAUCUUCGGCAAUGGACGAAAGUCUGACCGAGCAACGCCGCGUGAGUGAAGAAGGUUCUCGGAUCGUAAAACUCUGUUGGUAGAGAAGAACGUUGGUGGGAGUGGAAAGCGCAUCAAGUGACGGUAACUACCCAGAAAGGGACGGCUAACUACGUG